GGAGUCACCAUAACAGCGCUCACGUCGAAUCAGCGUGCUUGGGUUCCCAGAAGGCGUCACCACAUUCACAAAGAGUGUGCUGUCCUCGCCAAUCCUCUGCCAGCACUCUCACACACAUGCCCUGAAGCAUCUCAAAGGACUCUAAACGCUCUCGGGUUACAAGGAAGACGAAGGGUCACAGCAGGUCUGUUUAUAUAAUUACAUGGAAGCUGGCUAGUAGACAUCAUGACAAAUGAAAAACAUCCCAGGGCAUUGUUGACUGGAAUAUAACAAGGCAAAAGCACAGAGGAUAACAGUCUGCAGUUCCUCUACAUGUUAACACUGAGCUACCAUAUGACCUAGCAAUUCUGCUCCUAGGUAUACAACCAAAGCGAUUUGAAACAGGUGUUCAAAUACUAUUACAUGAAUAUUCAU
rnacentral:lncRNA from 1 species